rnacentral:rRNA from 1 species
GAUGAACGCUGGCGGCGUGCCUAAUACAUGCAAGUCGAGCGAACAGAUGAGGAGCUUGCUCCUUUGACGUUAGCGGCGGACGGGUGAGUAACACGUGGGUAACCUACCUAUAAGACUGGGAUAACUUCGGGAAACCGGAGCUAAUACCGGAUAAUAUUUUGAACCGCAUGGUUCAAUAGUGAAAGAUGGCUUUGCUAUCACUUAUAGAUGGACCUGCGCCGUAUUAGCUAGUUGGUAAGGUAACGGCUUACCAAGGCAACGAUACGUAGCCGACCUGAGAGGGUGAUCGGCCACACUGGAACUGAGACACGGUCCAGACUCCUACGGGAGGCAGCAGUAGGGAAUCUUCCGCAAUGGGCGAAAGCCUGACGGAGCAACGCCGCGUGAGUGAUGAAGGUCUUCGGAUCGUAAAACUCUGUUAUUAGGGAAGAACAAACGUGUAAGUAACUGUGCACGUCUUGACGGUACCUAAUCAGAAAGCCACGGCUAACUACGUG